GAGACAGAAGGGUCCUAGACCCAAAGGUUUGAGCUGGGAGACCUUGACUAACAUCAGGCUCUCUGUAGUUCGGAGAGGUGGAGGGACUCCCUUAGAAUCACACGGCCCAGCUUCUUUCUGUUCCUUUCCCCAGUGCUCCAGUGCUCCCUGGGUGCCUCUGGCAGCAGAAUACACUGCCUGCUUCAGGCAGGGCAAUAUUCUCCCCCAUCUGAGGUUGCUGCCAUAUAGCCACCAGAUUUUCACCUCCUUCGGCCCUGCGCCUGGCAUAGAGUAGGCACCCUGUAAAUAUUUGCGAGUGAAAGAGCAGGUGAAUUAUAGACAAUGGCUGCAUCCUCAGGCCAGCAACAGCUCAGAACCACAGGCAGGGGCAGUGACCGUCAUUCCUUGCCUCUUAGACUUGACUCUGUACAAGUGCCUGGAC
rnacentral:lncRNA from 1 species